CCUACGGGUGGCAGCAGUCGAGAAUUUUUCUCAAUGGGGGAAACCCUGAAGGAGCGACGCCGCGUGGAGGAUGAAGGUCUUCGGGUUGUAAACUCCUGUCAUUUGGGAACUAGUACCAGAAGAGGAAGAGACGGCUAACUCUGUGCCAGCAGCCGCGGUAAUACAGAGGUCUCAAGCGUUGUUCGGAUUCAUUGGGCGUAAAGGGUGCGUAGGUGGCGCCGUAAGUCGGGUGUGAAAUUUCGAGGCUUAACCUCGAAACUGCAUUCGAUACUGCGGUGCUUGAGGACUGGAGAGGAGACUGGAAUUCAUGGUGUAGCAGUGAAAUGCGUAGAGAUCAUGAGGAAGACCAGUGGCGAAGGCGGGUCUCUGGACAGUCCUGACACUGAGGCACGAAGGCCAGGGGAGCAAACGGGAUUAGAUACCCUUGUAGUC
rnacentral:rRNA from 1 species